CUAUCUCUAUCCACUCGCAACGGCCGAGAGAAAGCGGAGGUCCGUCCGCUCACUCCCGCCACGCCCCGCAACCACCACCGCGGCCGCGGCGCCAUGGCCUCCGUCGCCGCCGCCGCCUCCUCCUGCACCUGCUCCAGCUCAGCCGUACUCUCCUCCUCCUCAUCAACCAUACUCUCCGCAAACACAAGGACGCCUCGCCCGCUGCCGCACCGCGCCAGGCUACCGCUGCGGCCGGGACACUCGGUGCUGAGGUGUCUCCCGAAAUGCGACUCGGGGAAGCCGGUCGGAGAACGCGCUGGGUUGUUGUCGGCGGCUCGGAAGGCGGCCCGGCCAGGGGGUCAGGGAGGGUCGUCCAGGCCCGCGCAGUUCGACGCGUCGUCGUGCGGAAUCGCGCUCGCGACGGUGGUGGGGGUGAUAAUGCUCCACGCCCACGGGUCGCAGCAGGCGCUCGCCGCCACGCAGUUCUCCGGCCUGCAGCCGGCUGACGUGCUCGGGGAUCUCGGGGACAUCAGUACAGGUUUUGCUUCAGCUUUCCUGUUGAUCUUCUUUUCUGAGCUAGGGGACCGGACAUUCUUUAUUGCGGCACUGUUAGCGGCUAGAAGUUCUGGAGCAGUCAUUUUUCUUGGCACAUUUGGAGCUCUUGCGGUAAUGACUGUUAUAUCUGUAGUUCUUGGUCGAGCAUUUCACUAUGUUGAUGGCAUCAUCCCAUUCGGCUUUGGUGGUACUGAUUUCCCAGUUGAUGACAUUGCUGCAGCAUGUCUCUUGGUUUAUUAUGGGGUUACUACAUUACUUGAUGCAGCUUCAGGUGAUGAUGAAAAGAUCAAUGAGGAGCAAGAGGAGGCUGAGCUAGCAGUAUCGAAAUUUUCGGGAAACGGUGCUGGGGUCAUGUCUGCCGCUGGUACUAUCGCUAGCACAUUCGUGUUGGUUUUUGUCGCUGAAUGGGGUGAUAAAUCAUUCUUUUCCACAAUUGCACUUGCGGCAGCUUCAUCCCCUCUGGGUGUCAUUGCAGGAUCACUUGCUGGUCAUGCCGUUGCAACAUUGGUAAGAUAAGCAUAGUAAUAGAGAGUUGAGAGUUGAAACCAGAGAAGUGAAGUCAAACUUUUGCACUGCAAACAACAUUGGUUUGCAGGAACACUCAUUGACUAACAUACUUGAGCAAUGAGCAUAAUAGUAUUGCGAUGGAGCAGACAAUCUUUUCGCACAUUCGCCAUUGAUUGCAGUUCUUGGUGGCUCUUUGCUGGGAACAUUCCUGUCUGAAAAGAUUAUAGCAUACAUUGGAGGGAGCCUGUUCUUGGCCUUUGCUGCAAUUACCAUAGUUGAGAUAGUUACUUGAAAAGGAGUUCCAGCUUCCAUAAUUCAUCAAAUAAAAGGAACUUCAUUGUUUGCAUGGGAAGUCCUAGGUUUGCAUAGAGUGAUUUGUUGCUGGUGAUGAGAAUUCUGCAUUUUUAUCCAAGAACAAUCUUUUGAAACACUUCAGUCAGAGGUUGGGUGGAAGAUGAAACUAGGUGGGAAACUAUGAAACCCAUGUAGCUUUUGAAUUUCCUCUUACAUUAUUUACAAGUAUAUGGAUCUAAGCAUUGUAAAGGCAAAUGAUGAACCUUAUGGAACUAUUUUAGGAUUUAGCAUUCAUGAGAACUUAAUUAUUUAAUAGGCUUGCAAGAUAGACUUACUGAUUCAGAGUACGUUCUCAGAUUUUGAACUUAUUUGGUUUGAUUCUCCUAUCCGUGGAGUACGCUAUAGGAGUUGUCAGGCUAACUGAUGUUCACAUUAAAGUUAAUUAAUGAGGCCAUAUGUGUUUA